AGACAGUACCUAAGGAGGAAGCCCCGGCUAACUAUGUGCCAGCAGCCGCGGUAAUACAUAGGGGGCAAGCGUUAUCCGGAUUUAUUGGGUGUAAAGGGUGCGUAGACGGAGAUACAAGUUGGUUGUGAAAUCCCUCGGCUCAACUGAGGAACUGCAACCAAAACUAUAUCCCUUGAGUGUCGGAGGGGAAAGUGGAAUUCCUAGUGUAGCGGUGAAAUGCGUAGAUAUUAGGAGGAACACCGGUGGCGAAGGCGACUUUCUGGACGAUAACUGACGUUGAGGCACGAAAGUGUGGGGAGCAAACAGGAUUAGAUACCCUG
rnacentral:rRNA from 1 species